rnacentral:rRNA from 1 species
GGGUUGUGAGGUUAAGCGACUAAGCGUACACGGUGGAUGCCCUGGCAGUCAGAGGCGAUGAAGGACGUGCUAAUCUGCGAAAAGCGUCGGUAAGGUGAUAUGAACCGUUAUAACCGGCGAUGUCCGAAUGGGGAAACCCAGUGUGAUUCGUCACACUAUCGUUAACUGAAUACAUAGGUUAACGAGGCGAACCGGGGGAACUGAAACAUCUAAGUACCCCGAGGAAAAGAAAUCAACCGAGAUUCCCCCAGUAGCGGCGAGCGAACGGGGAGCAGCCCAGAGUCUGAAUCAGCUUGUGUGUUAGUGGAACGGUCUGGAAAGUCCGACGGUACAGGGUGAUAGUCCCGUACACCAAAAUGCACAGGUUGUGAACUCGAAGAGUAGGGCGGGACACGUGGUAUCCUGUCUGAAUAUGGGGGGACCAUCCUCCAAGGCUAAAUACUCCUGACUGACCGAUAGUGAACCAGUACCGUGAGGGAAAGGCGAAAAGAACCCCGGCGAGGGGAGUGAAAAAGAACCUGAAACCGUGUACGUACAAGCAGUGGGAGCACCUUCGGGUGUGACUGCGUACCUUUUGUAUAAUGGGUCAGCGACUUAUAUUCUGUAGCAAGGUUAACCGUAUAGGGGAGCCGCAGGGAAACCGAGUCUUAACUGGGCGUUAAGUUGCAGGGUAUAGACCCGAAACCCGGUGAUCUAGCCAUGGGCAGGUUGAAGGUUGGGUAACACUAACUGGAGGACCGAACCGACUAAUGUUGAAAAAUUAGCGGAUGACUUGUGGCUGGGGGUGAAAGGCCAAUCAAACCGGGAGAUAGCUGGUUCUCCCCGAAAGCUAUUUAGGUAGCGCCUCGUGAAUUCAUCUUCGGGGGUAGAGCACUGUUUCGGCUAGGGGGUCAUCCCGACUUACCAACCCGAUGCAAACUACGAAUACCGAAGAAUGUUAUCACGGGAGACACACGGCGGGUGCUAACGUCCGUCGUGAAGAGGGAAACAACCCAGACCGCCAGCUAAGGUCCCAAAGUCAUGGUUAAGUGGGAAACGAUGUGGGAAGGCACAGACAGCCAGGAUGUUGGCUUAGAAGCAGCCAUCAUUUAAAGAAAGCGUAAUAGCUCACUGGUCGAGUCGGCCUGCGCGGAAGAUGUAACGGGGCUAAACCAUGCACCGAAGCUGCGGCAGCGACACUAUGUGUUGUUGGGUAGGGGAGCGUUCUGUAAGCCUGCGAAGGUGACCUGUGAGGGUUGCUGGAGGUAUCAGAAGUGCGAAUGCUGACAUAAGUAACGAUAAAGCGGGUGAAAAGCCCGCUCGCCGGAAGACCAAGGGUUCCUGUCCAACGUUAAUCGGGGCAGGGUGAGUCGACCCCUAAGGCGAGGCCGAAAGGCGUAGUCGAUGGGAAACAGGUUAAUAUUCCUGUACUUGGUGUUACUGCGAAGGGGGGACGGAGAAGGCUAUGUUAGCCGGGCGACGGUUGUCCCGGUUUAAGCAUGUAGGCUGGUUAUCCAGGCAAAUCCGGAUAAUCAAGGCUGAGGUGUGAUGACGAGGCACUACGGUGCUGAAGUAACAAAUGCCCUGCUUCCAGGAAAAGCCUCUAAGCAUCAGGUAACAUCAAAUCGUACCCCAAACCGACACAGGUGGUCAGGUAGAGAAUACCAAGGCGCUUGAGAGAACUCGGGUGAAGGAACUAGGCAAAAUGGUGCCGUAACUUCGGGAGAAGGCACGCUGGUGUGUAGGUGAAGUCCCUGCGGAUGGAGCUGAGACCAGUCGAAGAUACCAGCUGGCUGCAACUGUUUAUUAAAAACACAGCACUGUGCAAACACGAAAGUGGACGUAUACGGUGUGACGCCUGCCCGGUGCCGGAAGGUUAAUUGAUGGGGUUAUCCGUAAGGAGAAGCUCUUGAUCGAAGCCCCGGUAAACGGCGGCCGUAACUAUAACGGUCCUAAGGUAGCGAAAUUCCUUGUCGGGUAAGUUCCGACCUGCACGAAUGGCGUAAUGAUGGCCAGGCUGUCUCCACCCGAGACUCAGUGAAAUUGAACUCGCUGUGAAGAUGCAGUGUACCCGCGGCAAGACGGAAAGACCCCGUGAACCUUUACUAUAGCUUGACACUGAACAUUGAGCCUUGAUGUGUAGGAUAGGUGGGAGGCUUUGAAGCGUGGACGCCAGUCUGCGUGGAGCCAACCUUGAAAUACCACCCUUUAAUGUUUGAUGUUCUAACGUUGGCCCCUGACCGGGGUUGCGGACAGUGUCUGGUGGGUAGUUUGACUGGGGCGGUCUCCUCCCAAAGCGUAACGGAGGAGCACGAAGGUUAGCUAAUCCUGGUCGGACAUCAGGAGGUUAGUGCAAUGGCAUAAGCUAGCUUGACUGCGAGCGUGACGGCGCGAGCAGGUGCGAAAGCAGGUCAUAGUGAUCCGGUGGUUCUGAAUGGAAGGGCCAUCGCUCAACGGAUAAAAGGUACUCCGGGGAUAACAGGCUGAUACCGCCCAAGAGUUCAUAUCGACGGCGGUGUUUGGCACCUCGAUGUCGGCUCAUCACAUCCUGGGGCUGAAGUAGGUCCCAAGGGUAUGGCUGUUCGCCAUUUAAAGUGGUACGCGAGCUGGGUUUAGAACGUCGUGAGACAGUUCGGUCCCUAUCUGCCGUGGGCGCUGGAGAAUUGAGGGGGCUGCUCCUAGUACGAGAGGACCGGAGUGGACGCAUCACUGGUGUUCGGGUUGUCAUGCCAAUGGCACUGCCCGGUAGCUAAAUGCGGAAGAGAUAAGUGCUGAAAGCAUCUAAGCACGAAACUUGCCCCGAGAUGAGUUCUCCCUGAGACUUUAAGUCUCCUGAAGGAACGUUGAAGACGACGACGUUGAUAGGCCGGGUGUGUAAGCGCAGCGAUGCGUUGAGCUAACCGGUACUAAUGAACCGUGAGGCUUAACCUUACAACGCCGAAG